rnacentral:misc_RNA from 1 species
GAUGAAAACGCAGCGAAAUGCGAUACUUGGUGUGAAUUGCAGAAUCCCGUGAACCAUCGAGUCUUUGAACGCAAGUUGCGCCCGAAGCCAUCAGGUUGAGGGCACGUCUGCCUGGGCGUCACAUAUCGUUGCCCAAUGCCUAUUGCAGUGCAAUAGGAAUUUCUAGGGCGAAUGAUGGCUUCCCGUGAGCGUUGUUGCCUCGCGGUUGGUUGAAAAUCGAGUCCUUGGUAGGGUGUGCCAUGGUAGAUGGUGGUCGAGUUAGAACGAUACCGAUCAUGUGCAUGCUCCCCAAAAUAUGGCCUCUAUGACCCACACGCGUCUUUUGACGCUCAUGACGAGACCUCAGGUCAGGCGGGGCUACCCGCUGAAUUUAAGCAUAUCAAUAAGCGGAGA